rnacentral:tRNA from 1 species
GGGCUGAUAGCUCAGUUGGUAGAGCACCGGAACUGCAAUCCGGAGGUCGCAGGUUCAAACCCCGCUCAAAUCA